rnacentral:rRNA from 1 species
AUGGCGGGGCGCAAGGAGACGGCGCUCAACCUGGCCAAGUUCGUCGACAAGGGCGUCCAGGUCAAGCUCACCGGCGGCCGCCAAGUUACAGGAAAUUUAAAGGGAUAUGACCUACUGCUGAACUUAGUGCUGGAUGAAGCAGUCGAGUCUGAAAGAUGCAUCGUCGACAGGCUGAACGUCGUUGACCACAUCAAGGCUAAUCUACCAUGUCUCUGCAAUGGAUCAUCAAUCACUCUUUAUACACUUGCAACUCAGUUUCUUUCAUAUAAGUUCUGCUGCCUUUCUUUAGGUUGA